UACGUAGGGUGCGAGCGUUGUCCGGAAUUAUUGGGCGUAAAGGGCUCGUAGGCGGUUUGUCGCGUCGGGAGUGAAACACUGGGCUUAACUCAGUGCUUGCUUCCGGAUACGGGCAGACUAGAGGUAUUCAGGGGAGAACGGGAAUUCCUGGUGUGAGCGGUGAAAUGACGCAGAUAUCAGGAGGAACACCGGUGGCGAAGGCGGUUCUCUGGGAAUGUCCUGACGCUGAGGAGCGAAAGUGUGGGGAGCGAACAGG
rnacentral:rRNA from 1 species